rnacentral:rRNA from 1 species
GACGAACGCUGGCGGCGUGCUUAACACAUGCAAGUCGAACGGAAAGGCCCUGCUUUUGUGGGGUGCUCGAGUGGCGAACGGGAGAGUCAGACGGAGGUAGCCUGCCCUUGACUUUGGGAUAACUUCAGGAAACUGAGGCGAAUACCGGAUAGCAGAUCCAGCUGCAUUGUGUGGGUUGGAAAGUUUCGGCGGGUGGGGAUGACCUCGCGGCUUAUCAGCUUGUUGGUUGGGUAGUGGCUAACCACGGCUUUGUCGGGAAGCCGGCCAGAGUGGGUGACGAGCAACGUUGGGACUGGGAUACGGUCCAGAAUCGUACGGGGGGCAGCAGUGGGGAAUAUUGCACAAUGGGCGGAAGCCUGAUGAAGCAACGCCGCGUGCGGGAUAACGGCCUUCGGGUUGUAAACCGCUUUCGCCUGUGACGAAGCGUGAGUGACGGUAAUGGGUAAAGAAGCACCGGCUAACUCAGUG